CUACGGGACGCUGCAGUGGGGAAUCUUGCGCAAUGGGCGAAAGUCUGACGCAGCAACGCCGCGUGCGGGAAGAAUGCCCUUUGGGCUGUAAACCGCUUUCAGCAGGAACGAAAAUGACGGUACCUGCAGAAGAAGAAGCGGCCAACUAUGUGCCAGCAGCCGCGGUGAUACAUAGGCUUCGAGCGUUGUCCGGAUUUAUUGGGCGUAAAGAGUUCGUAGGCGGUUAAGUAAGUCGGGUGUGAAAAUUCUGGGCUCAACCCAGAAACGCCACCCGAUACUGCUUGACUUGAGUUCGACAGGGGAGUGGGGAAUUCCUAGUGUAGCGGUGAAAUGCGCAGAUAUUAGGAGGAACACCGGUGGCGAAGGCGCCACUCUGGGUCGACACUGACGCUGAGGAACGAAAGCAUGGGUAGCAAACAGGAUUAGAUACCCUCGUAGUC
rnacentral:rRNA from 1 species